UACGUAGGUGGCAAGCGGUGUCCGGAUUUACUGGGCGUAAAGAGCGCGCAGGCGGUCUUGUAAGUCGAACGUGAAAGCCCCCGGCUCAACUGGGGAGGGUCGUUCGAUACUGCUCGACUUGAAGGCAGGAGAGGGAAGUGGAAUUCCCGGUGUAGUGGUGAAAUGCGUAGAUAUCGGGAGGAACACCAGUGGCGAAGGCGACUUCCUGGCCUGUUCUUGACGCUGAGGCGCGAAAGCUAGGGGAGCGAACGGG
rnacentral:rRNA from 1 species